rnacentral:rRNA from 1 species
UACGUAGGGAGCAAGCGUUGUUCGGAAUUACUGGGCGUAAAGAGUGCGUAGGCGGUUGGCUAAGUUUGGUGUGAAAUCACCCGGCUCAACUGGGAGGGUGCGCCGAAAACUGGCUGGCUAGAGUGCGGGAGAGGAUAGUGGAAGUCCUGGUGUAGCGGUGAAAUGCGUAGAUAUCAGGAGGAACACCUGAGGUGUAGACGGCUAUCUGGACCGUAACUGACGCUGAGGCACGAAAGCGUGGGGAGCAAACAGG